AUGCUGCCACUGCCGCUGCAGGUGCUUCUGGCUGCUGCAGCCCUUUGCUGCUAUGGAGCCGCGCAAAGCCUCCGGCAGCCAAAACCUUCCGUGCGCAGAGUGGCAUACAGCACUGCGCGGAUUGAGUGCCAUUUCUCAGGGUCAGACUUUCUGAAUGCCUACAUCCACUGGUACCAGCAGAAACCUGGGGAAGCCCCACAGCCCCUUCUGUACGUGCAGACAGGGGAGGCUGUUUUCUACAACCAGUCCUACAGAGAAACAUUUGGGGCCGAGAAGAAGAAGACGGAGCCCAUCUGUACUCUCACAAUAAGAAGAGUCACAAAGGAGCAAGAAGCCACCUAUUACUGUGCUUACUGGGAGAGCACAGCCGUAGAAAACACUCUAGCAGCUGGCACACAACCCUGGCUGUGCUCCCCACCACAGGCGGGCGAGGGCUGCAAACCUCACCUGGCUGCAGGCUCCUGCUGGCCUGGCUGGGCGCACUCUGGCCCCGAGCCUGUCCCCACAUGGAAGCCCUACGGAGGGCAGCAACCAUGUGGCUGCUGA